CAGGGGUGGUGGCUUGAGCAUGGCGGGCUGCAGGUCUGGAGCCCUGCCCCAUAGGUAGGCGGCGGAGGCCCCGCGAGAAUUCCAGCGUAUUGUGGGCGGGCCCACACUGCGGGAGAGACCCAGCGCACUCUCCGCAGCUGCUGGCCCGAGUGCUGAGCCCCUCACUGCUGGGGCCGGCGGCGCUGCCGGCCACUCGGAGUGCGGGGCCUGCUGAGCCCGCGCCCACCCAGAACUCGCUGGCCUGCGAGUGCAGCGCGCAGCCCCUGUUCCCGCCCGCGCGUCUCCCUCCACAUCUCCGGGCAAGCAAAGGGAGCCGGCUCCAGCCUCGGCCAGCCCAGAGAGUGCCUCCCACAGUGCAGCGGCGGGCUGAAGGGCUGGCUUCUCAAGCGUGGCCAGAGUGGACGCCGAGGCUGAGGAGGCGCCCAGAGUGAGCAAGGGCUGAUAGCACGUUGUCACCUCAAUACCACAGAAAUUGAAAACAGAGAUAAAAGGAGACUACUGUAUAUCAGUUCAAGGCCAAGUGACAACCUUCUAAGAAAAACUCACAGAACUGGAAUUUGGAAGGCAAGUUAUGGUAUCUCAAACGUGUGAGUAAAAACAAACUAAAAAUGAGAACCUAACAAACUAAGUAGUAGUAGAACAAAAGCAGGGGAUUGAGAGUAAGCUCCGCUGUAGACUUUGCUUCACUGUAGGUGGGUUUUGCGUGAGCCGGAUCCAUCUCACCUUGAAAUGGAUCCAGCCUAAGAGUGCUAUGCAAAUAACCAAGGUGACUGAGCCUGGGAGUCUAUAAGUGGGUUUAAUAAGCUGCCAUCUGGGGAACUGCAGUUGGGGUCCAGCAUAUGGUCUAGGGAAAUGCUAAG
rnacentral:lncRNA from 1 species